rnacentral:rRNA from 1 species
AUGUCCUACUUGUGUUUCAGUUCCAUUGGCUCCUACUGCAAACAGGUUAACACCUGGAGAGGCUCGAGCUAUGAGCAGCGAGCUGUUGCUGCUGCCGACGGAUGCUCCAGCGGUGAAACCUCCGUCGAUGAAGGCAAUGUCUUCUUGUUCGCCCCCUUCAGCCGCUCAGAUCCCAGCAUCAAUAAGGACAUUACACUGGCAGAUUAG